UUUGCAAGUUAAAAGUACAUAUUAUAAAUGUCUACAUGUAUAAGUAAAACGCGGUUGUCUCGUGAUGCUUCUAACGGUGCUGUCUUAUUGGUCGCUUUUGUUGACGUCAUGUUAAGUGACCAAUAGGAGAUCGAGUAUAAUUUAUUUUUAGAACAUGAACGUGAAUGGUGGGGAUUAAGGAAAACUCUACGUUGUACAUCGUUAUUGGAGCCACCAUUGUUGCACAACAUUUUUGGAGCUCGCACAGGGCGAUUGUGGUUUUCGUUGUGAUUGAAACACAUUAAAUAUUUUACUACAAAAUCUAUCAAUAUUAUUAGUAUACAACGGCUUUAUAUGUGUGUUAAAGUUACUUCUUUUUCAUUAAUUUUAAAGAGUAACUUGAUAUCUUUAGCGCUUGAGCCUACAAAAAGAAGACUUUUUGAGGCCUAUUCCUGUUAAGAGAGUUGCUUGGUUGGGAGCCUAAAGGUUUACAAUUUCCUUAGGGACUCAAGAAGAGUUCAAUAAAGUAAGUACCACCGCUGUAGCGGUUCUGUUCCCCCUAACCCCAUCUUAUGUUACAGGAUACAAACGUCGUACGAAGAAAGUCUAAAUUGAAAACUACCCACGACGGCUAUCAAUGAAUAUAAUUUGUCCUUCAAUAGAAAAAAAUAGGGGCGAAAUUUGAUAAAAAAUUUUAGGCGGAUAUAUCAAUAUUAUUCCGAUCAGUUUCCAUAAAUUUUUGUUAUUGUUUAUCGGUACAUAUAAACUUAAAAAAUAUAA